rnacentral:lncRNA from 1 species
AUUCUUAUUAGGAAGGAUAAGGGUAGAAUGCCAACCUUUCUUUCUGUGAAGUCUACUAUAAUAGCUUUCACUGCAUGUGUCUUCUUCAUACUAUUCAAUUGAGUAAAUUGAUGUAGUCUUUGCUUUUAUCCUCUAAUUGGCAUAGAUAUUUGCUUGGAUUAUUUUAUCUUAAUAUGUUGUCUUUCCAUUGAAAAAUAUGUACUUAUUGUCAUUAUUAAUCUGAAAUGGAAAUAAAUGUUCCCAAUAUGUUUGCCACCU